UACGUAGGGUGCAAGCGUUGUCCGGAAUUAUUGGGCGUAAAGAGCUCGUAGGCGGUCUGUCGCGUCUGCUGUGAAAACUCAGGGCUUAACCCUGAGCUUGCAGUGGGUACGGGCAGACUAGAGUGCGGUAGGGGAGACUGGAAUUCCUGGUGUAGCGGUGAAAUGCGCAGAUAUCAGGAGGAACACCGGUGGCGAAGGCGGCCCCCUGGACCGGUACUGACGCUGAGGCGCGAAAGCGUGGGUAGCAAACGGG
rnacentral:rRNA from 1 species